rnacentral:rRNA from 1 species
UACGGGGGGGGGCAAGCGUUGUUCGGAAUUACUGGGCGUAAAGGGCGCGUAGGCGGCCAACUAAGUCGGAUGUGAAAUCCCCAGGCUCAACCUGGGAACUGCAUCCGAUACUGGAUGGCUUGAAUUCGGGAGAGGGAUGCAGAAUUCCAGGUGUAGCGGUGAAAUGCGUAGAUAUCUGGAGGAAUACCGGUGGCGAAGGCGGCAUCCUGGACCGACAUUGACGCUGAUGAGCGAAAGCUAGGGGAGCAAACGGG